rnacentral:lncRNA from 1 species
UCAGCGGACUACAAGAAGCAGAGCCACCCUCAAUCUGGGUAGACACCAUCUAAUCAGCUACCAGCAAGGCUAGAAUAAAACAGGCAGGAGAAGAUGGAAGAGCAGACUUGCUGAGACUUCUGGCCUUCAUCUUUCUCCUGUGCUAGGUGCUUCCUGCCCUCGAACAUCAGACUCCAAGUUCUUCAGCUUUCAAAAUCUUGGACUUAUAUUGGUAAUUUGCCAGAGACCCUUGGGCCUUUGGCCACAGACUGAAGGCUGCACUGUUGGCUUCCCUAUUCUUGAGGUUUUGGGACUCGCACUGAUCCACCACUGGCUUCCUUGGCUCCUCAACUUGCAGCCGGCCUAUCAUGGGACUUACCUAGUGAUCAUGAAUGCUGUGACCUCUGAGAUAAUUCACCCACCGGAGUCAGACUGCUGAAGAACACUGGAUGGGUGGAAAAGGAACAUCUCAACCAGGAGAGAAGGAACUGAGUCAAGAAAGGGCUGCAUCUGGUGAAUAUGUCCCUCCCAGUGAUGGAACCCAGGGCUGCUGCAGCCAAGAGUCUAUAACAGUGGAGACGCCUUGAGCAAAGCCCCAGAGCCCUUGAGCUGCCUGUUCCCCUCCUCUGACAUGAUGGGUAAUCUGAUGGAAGCGCUGAGAGGCACUGCCUAGAAUUAAGCCCUAUGUGUAAACGAAGCAAGGAAGAAAGAACAUGUGCUAUCAAAUAUGAUUCAUGAUUCAAAUAUAUUUUAAUAUCUUAUUCUUUUCACACUCUGAGAAACUAUUCUGAUAAUGUGAUUGUUUUGUAAAGGAGUGUAUCUUCGGAUAAUAUACAGAUUUUAUAGCUAUUGCACAGUUUUAAUAAGCAAAAGACUUGCUAGGUUGAACUGGGUUCAACCCAAACCACUGUACAAUUUAAUUCAACACAAUAUUCCUCUGUUUAAAGUGCAUGUAAUUGCCAAUUUAUACAGUCACCAAGACCAAAGGUUUGCUAAAUAGAGUUCUGCAAACAUAGUAUGGCAUGUUUUAUCCC